UGCCCAGAGCCGCGGACGCUGUCACAGUGGUAUUGCCCACCCUGUGAGCGAGGAGGAAACGGGAUUCAGAUGUUUACAUGUUAGAAAGUAAGGCUACUAAUCUGUCUGUGUUUGGCCAGCCCGCGGCCCGGCUAAGUCUCUGCCAUCUUCGCGGUCUGCUCUCCGAGGGACAGUCCUUGUAGGCUGCUUGUUCCUCGGCGUCAGACUCUCACACAGCAAAACCCCCUUCACCUGCUCAAGGGGGUCCCAAGCCGAGGUGGGCGUCUGGGUCUCUCUGAGAGAGACCCAGGAGCCCCUGUACAUGGGAUCCGUGAACCUCGCAAAGGCAAGACCGGUCACUCUAAAC